rnacentral:rRNA from 1 species
UAGGAAUAUUGGACAAUGGGGGAAACCCUGAUCCAGCCAUGCCGCGUGUGUGAAGAAGGCCUUAGGGUUGUAAAGCACUUUCGUCCGCGAAGAUAAUGACAGUAACGGAAGAAGAAGCUCCGGCUAAAUUCGUGCCAGCAGCCGCGGUAAUACGAAUGGAGCGAGCGUUGUUCGGAAUCACUGGGCGUAAAGCGUGCGCAGGCGGUUUUGAAAGUUAGAAGUGAAAGCCCAGGGCUUAACCUUGGAAUUGCUUUUAAAACUUCAAGACUAGAGUACUGGAGAGGUUAGCGGAAUUCCGAGUGUAGAGGUGAAAUUCGCAGAUAUUCGGAGGAACACCAAUGGCGUAGGCAGCUAACUGGACAGUAACUGACGCUCAUGCACGAAAGCGUGGGGAUCAAAC